CACUGCUGAAGCACAGGUACACACACACUGCUGAAGCACAGGUACACACACACUGCUGAAGCACGGGUACACACACACUGCUGAAGCACGGGUACACACACACUGCUGAAGCACGGGUACACACACACUGCUGAAGCACGGGUACACACACACUGCUGAAGCACGGGUACACACACACUGCUGAAGCACGGGUACACACACACUGCUGAAGCACGGGUACACACACACUGCUGAAGCACGGGUACACACACACUGCUGAAGCACGGGUACACACACACUGCUGAAGCACGGGUACACACACACUGCUGAAGCACGGGUACACACACACUG